CCCGAUUGCUUCGUGCCCUUGCGUUUAUCAAGGAAAUUAAUCUGGGGUAGCACACCUUCACAAUUCACCAACCCUACAAUCUCAAUAUGCAUAAAUCCUAUUCGUUCGUCAUUAGACAUGCUUUAAGUGGCAUCCGAAUCCAUUUCUUCUUCACCCAUCUCAUCUUCAUCUAUGGGUAACUCUUAAUGUUCUCCUUAUUCUUUCCAAGGUUCCAUGUUCAGUGAAGCAUUGUUCAGCCAUUUUUCACCGUGCGCUGUAGUUGGUGGUUGAUCCAAGAAGGCCGUUAUUCACCACACGCCGCGUUUGGUUGUUGAUCCCAAUUUUCCCUGACUGAGACGCGACGUUCUUCCAAGAUUGGUCACCCGCGCACGGGUUGAUUACACGAUGUCCAGGAAUGUAUUGUAUCUGUGGUUUGCCAAGAAGUAG
rnacentral:lncRNA from 1 species